GACCAAAUGUGAGAGCGCAUUGCAUGUGAGUCCCUCAUUUGGCAGGUUUAGCUGCUUUUAAUACGAUAUUGCUAGCUGCCUUGUGAAGGGCUUACGUGUGAUUGUUAAACAACU
rnacentral:pre_miRNA from 1 species